AUUUGCAUUGUUAGGAUUGCAGAAAUCUCUUAGUAGAAAACUAAUGACAAAGAGAAAACGUAAAAAAUAAAUUAUUAGUUACACAGUCACCAGGCUAAAUUAAUGUAACCUGAAACAAACCACUUCUUGGUAGUCUCUGAUAUAUGACACGGGUGUGUUAUUUAUGCGUUUAUCAAUUGCUAAAUCGCCAUUAUUUUUAGUCUUUUGGGGUUUUGAAAUAAAUGGCUCUGAAUAAAAUGCUAAAUCAGUAGUAACGAUGCUUUAAUACCAGCUGUAGACAGAAGUGUAUGAAGUGAGCUACUAUCACUAGCUUGUAUAAAGUGCUACAUUUUGGGUCCAAAUAGUGCUGAAGCUCGGAAGCUUGACUCCAUUCGGGCCCAGUAGGUGUUGUGGUUACUCCGGCCCACCGCGCUGAUUAACUGUAGCUAGCAUACAAUGUGUCUGUGUUGCCCUCCUGCCUGAUAGAAAAAAAAAAAAUAACAAGCAGGAAAAAAAAAAAAAAAAAAAAACCUAAAGGGUAAAAAAAGCGAAAAAAAAACUCGGCCAUCCUCACAGACUUCCGGCUGUGGCGGAGAGGCGGCAGCACACAUUCAGGGAAAAUUACUAACGACGGCAGAGAGAACAGCGACGUUUACCGGUUCAGACGACUCCGACCUCCUGUCCGAAACUCCAAGCAACCCGAACAAUCUGGUCCCGAGCUAGCUGCUUCGUCUGAGCUUCACUUCCUCUCGAAAAGGUCGUCAGACAAAAGGAGUGUGUCUGUGUUGAUGUCAUGUCCGGUAUCUGAUGGAUACUUGAUUUAAAAAUGCAACAUGUUCUUCUUCAGUCGUCUCGAUCGCGGGAGUUUUAGUGCGACAAAGGUCCGUUUUGAAGCAAAUCAGCUCUUGAUUACUUUUAUUUUGUUGCAUUCAAAGAUCAGAUUCUGAUGUUAAGCUGAACGUGAUGCCUUCACGUUACCUUGGACGAAUCAGAGGUCACUAAAACCGAUCCCUACUGUCUUUAUGUGGAUGAAGUGAUUACACUACAAACAGAACAGUGGCAAAAAAAAAAGGUAGUUAUAAAAGAUUACACUGUAUUAGAAUAAAUAAAAAAAUUUCCUUGUAAAAUAAAUUAAAAUGAUUAAUGCUGUGUAAUUACAUGCCAGUCUAAUUUCUGAACACAAGACAUUACAACAGCGUAUUAGGGCCAUUUCAAAUGGAAAAAGAGGAGUACAUUUCCAACAAAACUCGCAGAAAUUUUCUAGAAAAAAACAGUUACAUUUCUUGGCUUGAAAAGUUGAAAAUUUGCUACAAAAAAAAAUCAUAAAUUUUGAGAUUAAUCUAAUAAAUUCAUAGUAAAAAGGAUUUCUGAGUUUCACAAGUCGAACAUUUUUUACUUUUCAAACUUAGAAAUUUCCAAGUUUUUCCUAGAAAUUUCAAUUCAAAAUUCCUGAGAUUUUCCUCACAAUUUUUUGACUUUCGCAGCUCAGAAAUGUAAUUGCAAUUUCGUCUAGAAUAUUUCUGAAAAUAAUCUGAGCAUUUCUGAGUCUUUCUGGCAAAUUUUUAACAUUCGGAGCUCAGAAAUGUCUGAAUGUUUUCUAGAAAAUUCCUGAGAUUAAUCUAGAAAUUUCAGAGUUUUUUUGGCAGAAAUGUACUUCCUUUUUCUAUCUACAAUGGCCCUAGAAUGCCACUGCAAGAUAUAAUCAUAUUUAACAAUAAAAUUGAAACUUAUUUUCAGAUUUCACCACAGUUGCACAUUUAUUUGUGUAUUUAUUCAUCAAGUGUAUUUUGACCAUUUCUGUGUUAUUGCUCUUGUUGUCUCUUUGCUAAGUUUCAAUUAAGAGAAUAAGUUUGAAGCACUGAAUGAAGAACAAAUAUAAGACUACGAAAAAAUUAACCAGACACAUCAGCAGUUUAUGUUUAAGUCAAACUUCUUGUUCGUACAGAAGCUUUGAUGUUUUAUUAUUUUCUGUCUGCUGCACCUUUUGUGCCAUUUUGUAAAGGGGAAACAAGAAAAUCACUGUACACCGCCACUGGAAGUACUUUAUUCUUCAUGAGUUAUACACACUGUUUACUGUGAGUAUUGGUCUAAUGAGCUUUAUGCUAAAUUUGGGAAAGUGUUUUCUUCUGUUAUUUAUUUGUAAUAUUUUUUUUAUUUCUAAAUAGAAACAUUUUCAUAUAAACAAAUAUUUUUGUCUUAUUAAAUCAGAUGGUAUGACCAAUUACUCAAUAUUUGAAUAGCCUUUUUUUUUUUUUUACCAAAUACUUUUUUACUCUUAAGUAAUUUUUCAGAUGCCUACAUUUUUACUUUUACCUUAAUAAAAAGUUGAAAUAGUGCUACUCUUACCUGAGUACAAUUGUUUAGGUACUCUACGCACCUCAUCUUAAGUGUAUUCUGAGUGACAAACAAGUAUCCAUGUAGACCUUAACAAGGAAGAAUUAAGAUUAGAUCUAAAUAUGCAUCAUUUCCAACUUCCAAAAUAAAAGAAAUGCAAUUUAAAAUUACAAACAAAUUUUAUCCAAGUCUUUCUGAGGUCCAAAUGGUUAUGUAUAAGCAUGUAUUCUGUGAGGAAGUAACAGGAUUUCGAGCAUCUGUCUUUGCAGGAUCCUUAUAAGCUUAUCUGGGUUCAUGGGGCACAAUUAACAAAUAUAAACAUCCAAGAGGUAAAAAUUAAUGACCAUAAAAGUGAUCACAGUGUAAAUAAUGUUCUCUUAUUGGCCAAAUAUUGCACAAAUCUUGCUUCUUUGAAGCAGUGGAAGAAUGAGUUAAAUUUGAGAAGUCAAAAAUGCUUUUAAGUUCAAUAAAUCCAUCAAACACAUUUAUUUAUAGCACACUUCAGCAACAAGGCAGUUCAAAGUGCUUUUCAUCAUAAAAACCAUAACAUUUUAUAAUCUUCAAAAAGGUUGAACUCUUUAAAAAAAA